rnacentral:rRNA from 1 species
GAUGAACGCUAGCUACAGGCUUAACACAUGCAAGUCGCAGGGUAACAUGAGGAAAGCUUGCUUUCCUUGAUGACGACUGGCGCACGGGUGAGUAACGCGUAUCCAACCUUCCCAUAACUACGGGAUAACCCGUUGAAAGACGGCCUAAUACCGUAUGAUAUCGUUUGCUGACAUCAAAUAACGAUUAACGGUUUAGCGGUUAUGGAUGGGGAUGCGUCUGAUUAGCUUGUUGGCGGGGUAACGGCCCACCAAGGCGACGAUCAGUAGGGGUUCUGAGAGGAAGGUCCCCCACAUUGGAACUGAGACACGGUCCAAACUCCUACGGGAGGCAGCAGUGAGGAAUAGUGGUCAAUGGGCGAGAGCCUGAACCAGCCAAGUAGCGUGCAGGACGACGGCCCUAUGGGUUGUAAACUGCUUUUAGGUGGGGAUAAAGUGCGUGACGUGUCAUGCAUUGCAGGUACCACAUGAAUAAGGACCGGCUAAUUCCGUG